rnacentral:rRNA from 1 species
ACGAGAAACGGUCUAGCUUGCUAGAUGCAGUCUAAGUGGCGCACGGGUGAGUAAUGUAUAGCUAAUGUGCCCCUUGGAGGGGGAUAACAGUUGGAAACGGCUGCUAAUACCCCAUACUCCUUCAUUCUUAAUGAGUGAAGGGAAAGUUUUUUCGCCAAGGGAUCAGGCUAUAUGGUAUCAGCUAGUUGGUGAGGUAACGGCUCACCAAGGCAAUGACGCCUAACUGGUCUGAGAGGAUGAUCAGUCACACUGGAACUGAGACACGGUCCAGACUCCUACGGGAGGCAGCAGUGGGGAAUAUUGCACAAUGGAGGAAACUCUGAUGCAGCAACGCCGCGUGGAGGAUGACGCAUUUCGGUGUGUAAACUCCUUUUAUAUAGGAAGAUAAUGACGGUACUAUAUGAAUAAGCACCGGCUAACUCCGUGCCA